AUUGAACGCUGGCGGCAGGCCUAACACAUGCAAGUCGAGCGGAUGAAGGGAGCUUGCUCCUGGAUUCAGCGGCGGACGGGUGAGUAAUGCCUAGGAAUCUGCCUGGUAGUGGGGGAUAACGUCCGGAAACGGGCGCUAAUACCGCAUACGUCCCGAGGGAGAAAGUGGGGGAUCUUCGGACCUCACGCUAUCAGAUGAGCCUAGGUCGGAUUAGCUAGUUGGUGGGGUAAAGGCCUACCAAGGCGACGAUCCGUAACUGGUCUGAGAGGAUGAUCAGUCACACUGGAACUGAGACACGGUCCAGACUCCUACGGGAGGCAGCAGUGGGGAAUAUUGGACGAAGGGCGAAAGCCUGAUCCAGCCAUGCCGCGUGUGUGAAGAAGGUCUUCGGAUUGUAAAGCACUUUAAGUUGGGAGGAAGGGCAGUAAGUUAAUACCUUGCUGUUUUGACGUUACCAACAGAAUAAGCACCGGCUAACUUCGUG
rnacentral:rRNA from 1 species